UUAUAACUCAGUUGGUAGAACAUGAGACUUUUAAUCUCAGGGUUGUGGGUUUGAGCCCCCCCAUUGGGCAAAA